rnacentral:rRNA from 1 species
UACAGGGGGUGCAAACGUUGCUCGGAAUCAUUGGGCGUAAAGCGCACGUAGGCGGUCUGUUAUGUCGGAUGUGAAAGCCCUUGGCUCAACUGAGGAAGUGCAUCCGAAACUGGCAGGCUAGAGUACGAAAGAGGAUCGCGGAAUUCCCGGUGUAGAGGUGAAAUGCGUAGAUAUCGGGAGGAACACCAGUGGCGAAGGCGGCUUUCUGGUCUGCUCUUGACGCUGAGGCGCGAAAGCUAGGGUAGCAAACGGG